rnacentral:tRNA from 1 species
UGCCGGAUCGUCUAACGGUAGGACAGGAGCCUUUGAAGCUUCUAAUUUUGGUUCGAUUCCAAGUCCGGCAACAA